CAGGUCUGCAAUUAUUGGGCUUGGACCUUAAAUCGCAUCAUCGGAGCAAGGCCUCAAAUCGCAUCAUAUGAGGUUUGCUCUCAUCUUCUUCACCAAUCGUCCGAUUUCCCAAAGAGAGAAAAUUCUCUGCAAAGCUUUGCCCGCCCUUUACGCCGUCGUCGCUGCCGACCAGCUACGCUACUAUUGCCGCUACAACUAGCUAGGUUGAAAGUAGAGAUUUGUAGACGGAGGUGCCAACAAAUGAACCUCAAAUGAAGGUUCAGAGCUCCCAGUAAAUCAUUCCAUUGAUACUGCUCAUCAACAAGAGGAUGAUGUGCUUCCUGAUCCCAUAAAUGAUGGGUAUAUAAAUUCAUCAUUUCUC